UACGUAGGGUGCAGGCGUUAAUCGGAAUUACUGGGCGUAAAGCGUGCGCAGGCGGUUAUGUAAGACAGAUGUGAAAUGCCCGGGCUUAACCUGGGAACUGCAUUUGUGACUGCAUGGCUAGAGUGUGUCAGAGGGGGGUAGAAUUCCACGUGUAGCAGUGAAAUGCGUAGAUAUGUGGAGGAAUACCGAUGGCGAAGGCAGCCCCCUGGGAUAAC
rnacentral:rRNA from 1 species